rnacentral:rRNA from 1 species
GACGUAGGGCGCGAGCGUUGUCCGGAUUUAUUGGGCGUAAAGAGCGUGUAGGCGGCCGUACAGGUCAGCUGUGAAAACUCGAGGCUCAACCUCGAGACGUCGGUUGAAACCGUACGGCUAGAGUCCGGAAGAGGAGAGUGGAAUUCCCGGUGUAGCGGUGAAAUGCGCAGAUAUCGGGAAGAACACCCGUGGCGAAGGCGGCUCACUGGACCAUUACUGACGCUGAGGCACGAAAGCUAGGGGAGCAAACAGG